GGAAUAUUGGUCAAUGGACGAAAGUCUGAACCAGCCAUGCCGCGUGGAGGAUGAAGGUCCUCUGGAUUGUAAACUUCUUUUAUCUGGGAAGAAAAAAGGGAAUUCUUUCCCGUCUGACGGUACCAGAUGAAUAAGCACCGGCUAACUCCGUGCCAGCAGCCGCGGUAAUACGGAGGGUGCAAGCGUUAUCCGGAUUCACUGGGUUUAAAGGGUGCGUAGGUGGAUUGCCAAGUCCGUGGUGAAGUCUCCGAGCUUAACUCGGAAACUGCCGUGGAUACUGGUAGUCUUGAAUACCGUGGAGGUCAGCGGAAUAUGUCAUGUAGCGGUGAAAUGCUUAGAUAUGACAUAGAACACCAAUUGCGAAGGCAGCUGGCUACCCGAAUAUUGACACUGAGGCACGAAAGCGUGGGGAUCAAAC
rnacentral:rRNA from 1 species